rnacentral:rRNA from 1 species
GAUGAACGCUGGCGGCGUGCCUAAUACAUGCAAGUCGAGCGAACAGACGAGGAGCUUGCUCCUCUGACGUUAGCGGCGGACGGGUGAGUAACACGUGGAUAACCUACCUAUAAGACUGGGAUAACUUCGGGAAACCGGAGCUAAUACCGGAUAAUAUAUUGAACCGCAUGGUUCAAUAGUGAAAGACGGUUUUGCUGUCACUUAUAGAUGGAUCCGGGCCGCAUGAGCUAGUUGGUAAGGUAACGGCUUACCAAGGCAACGAUGCGUAGCCGACCUGAGAGGGUGAUCGGCCACACGGGAGCUGAGACACGGUCCAGACUCCUACGGGAGGCAGCAGUAGGGAAUCUGCCGCAAUGGGCGAAAGCCUGACGGAGCAACGCCGCGUGAGUGAUGAAGGUCUUCGGAUCGUAAAACUCUGUUAUUAGGGAAGAACAAAUGUGUAAGUAACUAUGCACGUCUUGACGGUACCUAAUCAGAAAGCCACGGCUAACUACGUG